rnacentral:rRNA from 1 species
UACGGGGGGGGUAAGCGUUGUUCGGAAUUACUGGGCGUAAAGGGCUCGUAGGCGGCCAACUAAGUCAUACGUGAAAUCCCUCAGCUUAACUGGGGAACUGCGUGUGAUACUGGAUGGCUUGGAUUUGGGAGAGGGAUGCGGAAUUCCAGGUGUAGCGGUGAAAUGCGUAGAUAUCUGGAGGAACACCGGUGGCGAAGGCAGCCCCCUGGGAUAACACUGACGCUCAUGCACGAAAGCGUGGGGAGCAAACAGG